AGCCGCUUCCCUUUCCGCCUUCAGUCAUUGCUUGUCUCGCUCAGUAUGCCGAGCCCGCGGCCCCGUAGCGGUGUUUAUCCGUUACCUGCAGUGAUCCGAUAGAGGUGUUAGCAGACGGCCGCCAUGUUGUUCGGGGGAGGGUGUUGGGGUUUUCAGGGGAUCGUUAUUUAUUUUUAUUUUUUUUCUGGCAGUUCGGUAAAAAUUCCUCUCCGAGAUCACAAUAAUCCUGCCGAGUAAUGAUUACUGCCGUGGUUUUCUGUGUUUUCUAGCGGUUUAUAUUCUGGCAGGCAGUAACAUAUGCCUUAGGUGGGUGCAGGAACCCCAAAAAUGUAAGGAGGCAUCACCUCAACAAAAGCUUUCUACCCAGUGAGCGGCAGAGUAGGAAAAAACGACACAUUCACAUAGACACAGUAACUGCCAUGUGCUCUCUGAGACGCUCUCCCACAAUAACCGGUUCAAUACCGUAAUACAUGGGGUCCUUUCUCUACAUUCACACAGCACUAAACCAGGCCCUUGGGCUGAGUAAUGGGAACAGUGCUAAGAGGGAGACUGGCUGGGAGGGUAAUAACAUAGGAGACUGGCUGGGAGGUUAUUGGAAGAGGUAAAUGUGGUUUGUAGUCCUAUCUGGGAGUGGGGACAGAGAGUAAUGGGUUAGUAACAUAGUGAGCUAGUGUUUACAAUAAGAGGGAAACCGGCUCUGUAGAAAUAUAGGGCACUGGGGAGGGUACAGCAAGAGGGCAACAUGGUAAUUAAAGGGACACAGUAGUCACACAACUUUAGCCUAAUGAAGCAGCUUUGGUGUAAAGAUAAUGCCCAUAAAGUCUCAUCACUCAAUAACCUGCCAUUUAGACGUUCAAUCACUUUCUUUAUGCUGCCCAAGACACAGCCCUGCAUGUGAUUUACAUUAUCUUCCUAAACACUUCCUGUACAUAGUCGUCUAAUGUUUACACUUCCUUUUUUGCAAAUUAUGUUUAAUUUGAGCUUCUU